rnacentral:piRNA from 1 species
GUGGGUUUUUGUUUACUGGUGGGC